GAUUCUGUAGCUCAGUGGUAGAGUGUGUGUCUAGCAUGCAUAAGGUUCUGGGUUCAAUCCCCAGCAUCACCA
rnacentral:tRNA from 1 species